rnacentral:rRNA from 1 species
UACGGGGGGGGCAAGCGUUGUUCGGAAUUACUGGGCGUAAAGGGCUCGUAGGUGGCCAACUAAGUCAGACGUGAAAUCCCUCGGCUUAACCGGGGAACUGCGUCUGAUACUGGAUGGCUCGAGUUUGGGAGAGGGAUGCGGAAUUCCAGGUGUAGCGGUGAAAUGCGUAGAUAUCUGGAGGAACACCGGUGGCGAAGGCGGCAUCCUGGACCAAUACUGACGCUGAAUAGCGAAAGCCAGGGGAGCAAACGGG